ensembl:lncRNA
GGCCUCAGACCUGGCUCGCCCGGGCCAUCUGCGCGGCGCCCGCGCCCGCUCGCUUCCGUCCCGCGGCGCCGGUCUCCGGCUCUCGGUCCGCCGCCUCCCGCCGCCCGCCGGCCGCGGGGCGCACAGCGAGUCAGAGCGCGGCCGCGCGGGACUCCAUGCCGGCCGGCGCGCCGCCGCCGUUGGGGCGCAUGGCUCAGGCGGGGCGGCCCGCGGGGGCGCACAUCCUUCGGCCGGGGCGCGGGGCGCGGGGCUCGCGGUCCCCUCCGCGGGCUGCACAGCGAAGGCGGCGGAGAGGCGGGGCGUGUUCCGGCGCUGUCGCCGCGCAGCCAGGGGCUGGGGAGCCGCGGCUUCGCCCUCCGGGGCGGUGAAGAGGGAGGCCGGCGGCGCUGCCGCUCACGGUGCGUGUCUCGCGGCGCGCGGCUCUUGCCUCCAGCCGGAGCUCCACGCCGAUGGGGCGGCGCUGAUUAGGAUUUGAGGCGACGCGACGCGGGCGGACGCGGGUCCCCUCCGCGUUUCCGGGUCGGGGGGCUCUGCCAGAGGUUCCGCCGCCGAUCGGCGCCACUCAAGUUGCCCGGGGGCUCCGUCUGAGCGCUCGCUCUGCAGACGGCCGCGGCCCGGAGGCUGGCAGAAGGCGGGCACGGGAGGCGCGCGGGGCGAGGGCGCCGUGGAGCGCGGGGCGUGGGGACGCGCGGCGGCGGCGCCGCGCGGAGGAGGCGCGCGGGUAUCCCGGGGCCCCGCCGCCCGCGCCCACCGCGCCCGCCGCAGAGCCGCCCGCGCUGCUCGGCCGCCUCGCUCUUCGCGUCUGCCUCUCAGCGCGCUCGCCCCCGCCUCCCGGAGCCGGUCCCAACUCCGCCCGCCCGGCCCGGCUCACGUCACCCGCCUUCCCCGCCCCUCGAACGGGAGCUCGAGUCCCCGACCCGGCCCCGGCUCCUGCUCGCCGUCCCACCUUGCGGGGGCCGGGGUCGCCGCGGGGGGAGGGGGUCAGAGGGCUGUGCCCAGCGCGGGCGACAGCGCAGGCGGGGCUUCUUCAGCCCCCUUCCCCAUCCCCGGUCGCGUCCCGGUCCCCACCUUGCGAAAGGCUCGAGAGAGGCCGCAGGCUCCGAUUGGACCGCCGGGCGCCGCCGGAUGGUGUUGCCAGGCUGCUGCCUGGCCAGGCCCUUGCUCCGGAGGAGUCACUGGAAAGUUCCAGGGAAUCUGGGCCUCCCAGACUCUCCACCGGCGUUUCACUGCUCCCUCCCCAUGCCAGGACUCCUCUGUGCCUACCUGGUUAGUCUGUAUUUGCAAAUAAAAAACGAAAACAAACACACACACACAAAAGGGGGGGCACUUAAAGGAGGACAGACACUGGGUGAGGACCUUUCCCUGAGAGAAGUGACAUGGGGCGGAAUCCUCCACAGACCCGCUGACGCUUUGAGAAACCACGACAAAGCCCUGCUUUUAAUCCUCCAUAGGCUGAGGGCAGUGCCGAAUCCGGGCCUUGGAAAGGACGCUGGUGCCACCCUUCAUCUGGGAAAGGCCUCCAGGAUCUUUGCCAAGGGUCUUGAGGAGCCAGGCACAGGAUUGGACUCUGCCCAGGCAGGACGAAGGCAGUGACUUCCCCACAAAGACUCCCGGGAGAGGGCCAGAGGCAGCGAGGUGUGGUGGCAGGAGCACCAGCUUUGCCCUGGGUAGACCAGGGGCCGGCGCUUGCUAAGUCGGGGUCCUGGCCGAGUUGUCUGGCCUCUCCGACCCUCGGUCUCCUCUUCUGUAAGACGUGGGGCCCACAGCCCCUGCCCGGGGAGGUGUUGGCAGGGCUCCAGGAGGCCUCACGCACGGUGUGGCUGCGGCCAUCUGGGAGCCGGCCAGAGGAUCAGAGAGGCAGCAGGGUGACUCAGCAGUUUCCCUGCCGGGCCGCCCCUGGGUCAUCGUCCCCUAGAACCUCUCCCUGAAGGGUGUGAGGGAGCGGAUCCCACUAAGAGUCGGAGGAGACAGGGAGGUCCUGGAACCAGCGGGGCCCAUGGCGGCGGGCGGGGAAGGAGGCGCCCGCCGUGCUGCCACCUAGCGGGAUGAGGUGGCGGUGCUGCACCAGGGAGGCCCUUCCUGCAACCCGACUGGACCUGGAGGAGCCCGGCUUCGCAGACGAGGAGCCAGGAGGGCAGGCAGGGACCCCGGACCGGACCGUGUCGGCUCCAGGAACCCCUUGAGCAGCCUUGUGGACACCUGCUAACCUCUCUCAGAAUGCCUUCUAAAUGCAUAGAUGAAAAAGC